rnacentral:rRNA from 1 species
CAAUAGCGUAUAUUAAAGUUGUUGCGGUUAAAAGCUCGUAGUUGGAUUUCUGUGGUAGGCAGCCGGUCCGCACUAUGUGCGAGUAUCUGGUUCGGCUACUGCAUCCUCCUGAAGAACGUUGGCGCGCUUCACUGCGUGGCACGGUAUUCAGGACUUUUACUUUGAGGAAAUUAGAGUGUUCACGGCAGGCGCUUGCCCUGAAUAUAUUAGCAUGGAAUAAUGAUAUAGGAUCCAGGUCCUAUUUUGUUGGUUUCUAGGACCAGGAUAAUGGUUAAUAGGGAUAAUUGGGGGCACUCGUAUCAUGACGUCAGGAGGUAGGAAUUCGUUGGUAUUGUCAUGCGACGAACUACUGACGAAAGCUAUUUCGACC